UGGUGUGUGGAGGUGUAUUUAUGGCACUGUCAUGGGGUGUCAGGGGUCGGAGGUUCAAAUCCUCUCACACCGACCA
rnacentral:tRNA from 1 species